rnacentral:rRNA from 1 species
UACGAAGGGGGCUAGCGUUGCUCGGAAUUACUGGGCGUAAAGGGCGCGUAGGCGGCACUGUUAGUCAGGCGUGAAAUCCCCGGGCUCAACCUGGGAACUGCAUUUGUGACUGCAUGGCUGGAGUGCGGCAGAGGGGGAUGGAAUUCCGCGUGUAGCAGUGAAAUGCGUAGAUAUGCGGAGGAACACCGGUGGCGAAGGCGGCCUGCUGGGGCAGUUGCUGACACUGAGGCGCGACAGCGUGGGGAGCAAACAGG